ACGGAAGGCAGCAGUGGGGAAUAUUGCACAGUGGGCGAAAGCCUGAUGCAGCGACGCCGCGUGAGUGAAGAAGUAUUUCGGUAUGUAAAGCUCUAUCAGCAGGGAAGAAAAUGACAGUACCUGACUAAGAAGCCCCGGCUAACUACGUGCCAGCAGCCGCGGUAAUACGUAGGGGGCAAGCGUUAUCCGGAUUUACUGGGUGUAAAGGGAGCGCAGGUGGCAAGGCAAGCCAGAAGUGAAAACCCGGGGCUCAACCCCGCGGAUUGCUUUUGGAACUGUCGAGCUAGAUUGCGGGAGAGGUAAGUGGAAUUCCUAGUGUAGCGGUGAAAUGCGUAGAUAUUAGGAGGAACACCAGUGGCGAAGGCGGCUUACUGGACCGUAAAUGACGCUGAGGCUCGAAAGCGUGGGGAGCAAACAGGAUUAGAUACCCUGGUA
rnacentral:rRNA from 1 species